rnacentral:rRNA from 1 species
GAUGAACGCUGGCGGCGUGCCUAAUACAUGCAAGUCGAGCGAACAGACGAGGAGCUUGCUCCUCUGACGUUAGCGGCGGACGGGCGAGUAACACGUGGAUAACCUACCUAUAAGACUGGGAUAACCUCGGGAAACCGGAGCUAAUACCGGAUAAUAUAUUGAACCGCAUGGUUCAAUAGUGAAAGACGGUUUUGCUGUCACUUAUAGAUGGAUCCGCGCCGCAUUAGCUAGUUGGUAAGGUAACGGCUUACCAAGGCAACGAUGCGUAGCCGACCUGAGAGGGUGAUCGGCCACACUGGAACUGAGACACGGUCCAGACUCCUACGGGAGGCAGCAGUAGGGAAUCUUCCGCAAUGGGCGAAAGCCUGACGGAGCAACGCCGCGUGAGUGAUGAAGGUCUUCGGAUCGUAAAACUCUGUUAUGAGGGAAGAACAAAUGUGUAAGUAACUAUGCACGUCUUGACGGUACCUAAUCAGAAAGCCACGGCUAACUACGUG